AUUGAAUCUAUGUUGAUUUUUCAUCCAAACCGUUGUAUAUGGUCGGGGUUGAAAUGCCAGUGUUGUAACAACAUUGAAAUACUGUGGUAAACCGACAGUCUUGCUAUAGGGACGUUGUAACGAUGUUGAUUCACCGUUGUUUUUUUGUCAUUGAUAUUUGAUCUAUUUGUAGUCGAUCAGGUGACAACAACAACGUCGAGAAAACGUCUAUUUAUAGUUGACGAUCAUUCGGCUCCAGUCACCAUCAAACACCAUCGAUUUGUAGUUGAGCAUUAAAUUGCAUUGCAACUGAUCGGGUAUAAAGUACCAGAGAAAGUAGAUUUAUUGUUCAUUUGUUAUCAAUGACUUGGUCUAGUUCACCAGCUUUAAAAAAUCGUGUCUACGUGCAAUUUAUGUAUAGUUGACCGGGAAAUUAAAGCGCGAUCACUUGGACUAUUCCGCAGCACCCCUCUCACAUUGGUACAUCCCUCCAGGUAUUCAUUGUCUUGUACAGUAGAGCGGGACAUUUGAUUUACUCUCAGCGGAAUUGACCGGAGAAGGCAUCAGUUCAUGCACUGCACUGGCCUGCACCACGAUUAGUAUAAGUUGGUUAUUAGAUGCCGCUCCAACCAGCCAGAGAAUCCCCCACCGCCCCGCCCUCUCCUCCCUGUGCCGCAAGCAGCAGGCGCACCUCGCAAACGGAGGGCGAAAAGCGUCUGGACUUCUUUAAGUAGCUUGAAAUACAUUUAAAUCUGGGACUCUCCACCAUUUGACUCUUAGAACAGAAGAAGCUUCUCGGAUGAGAGAUCAUCGAAGAGUUCAGACGCAUCACCAGUUUCGUUGGUGGAGACAUUCAUGCUGAAACUUGAUGAGUACACACCAAGUUUUUUGCAGCUUAUGCGUGCCAAAGGAGGAGCUGCUGGUUCCAAGUUGAGACCUCUGCUGGACACUAUGAAUGACCCUGAUUUUUAGGAGCUCGUCACAACGGGACAGCAUACAUUUCACAUACACAAGGAUCACAAGCCUAUAUAGGGCAAACUACACCUCUAAAAAACACAGGGGUCAAUAAGCUGUCCAGAAAUACCUACAGCAGCGGGAGCAAUAAGACCAAGCCUUACAUUAGACCUGAGACAGAGUACGCAGCGUGUCAAGAACCAGGGCCAUCCGGAAUAACACAGACCAAUGUCAAGCACACAACCCCUUCCCACGAUGCGGACCAUGACGACCCCUUGAUGCUUUUGGAAUAAAUAUACACGGUAUUGAACUCCCAGAACAACAAGAAAAACCACAAGCUUUGUGCAACAACGGAGACUCAGAACCAUUCUUCAUCACCGGACCAUACAUACACGCGACUGCCAGCCUUGUGAUUUCAGCGAUAUUUCUGAGUACAGCCUAUCAGAUUUCAAUAUAGUUGACAUACCCAGAAUGUCUCAGAAACAACAGUGGUACAGACAUAGGUUUUGAAGAAUGCUGCAUAACAGACUCGCAAAUAUCACAGGCAUAUGACGCAUACUUAAAUGCAGCAAACACCUCUACUUUUGAUCAAGAAAGAAGAAAUAGCAGCUAAAGUCAACCAACAUCAAGAAGCAGCACAGGGGGAUUUGCAAUUAAUAGCAGUGGCUCUAACUAGUACCCAGCAGGCAAUAAACAAUACCUGGGGUUUAUUAGAUCUCAUUAGUACCAGAUUGUUAAAUCGCUGACUUUUAAAGUCUACACCAUGGACCCACCCUGUAAAUUAUUCAAACACAAUGAUUGUACCUCCACUCGAGCUAAAUGGUUUCACUUUGAGGCUUUUGGGCUGCGCAAAUAAUAAACAAAUGCGAAGUUUUGCAUGUAAGACUUAGUAGUGUCGCUGUAGCAGACAGUCCUGUGUCUAAUGCACGUCCUUGUCCAACUCAUUCUGAAGCUGUUGCUGAUGAUGCUGUUUAUAUCGAUGCUGUUGAUCAUGCAACCGAUUCACAUCCGGAUAUGCCUAUUGUCACGGCUGUUGCUGCCGCUGCUGUAGGGACUGUUGUUACUCAGGCUACCGCUGAUUGUCUUAUUGCUGAGGCUUCUGUCACUCCUGAUCGGGGGUGUGCACCUGGUGUACAUGCGUAUCUGGGUGCUGCUGCUGCUGCUGCUGACGCAUCACCACACAACCCCUCAAACAAUGGAAAUUCCUUAAGUGUUAACCAUUCACAAACAGGUGCUGCAGUAUUCGAGCCCAUUGUUCAGUCUGGGGCGGGCAGUCACAGUCAGCGUAGCAUUAGAGAGAUACCUAAUUUCAACGCCCGAGAAUUGCGUGAGCGCCUUGAUUUUAGGGACAUAAGUCUUGAUGAUCCAGAACAAGUGUCAGAAAGAGUUAGAAGCUGCCAGUGUGAUAGAGCUGUGGCUGGAUCUCAGCAGGGUCAUGUUCUAAAUGUGGUCCUGCGUGGACCCACGUUGGUUUCUGAUGUUCAAGCUGUUUUAAAUCCUGAUGAUCAAUAUGACCCUAACCUGUUUCUCGACCAAAUAGCUCAAGUUAUGCAAAGUAAUGACGAAUCUAUCGGUGAUGGUGAAUUAGUUUAUUGUCAUGGUUGCGCAAAACAGUAGCGGUGGCAGCGGUGCUAUAAUCCGCAGGAUUUGUGGAGUGUUCUGGUGAGAGAUGGCAAAGCCAAAGAGGCAGAGGAGAGGUUCUGUCGUGUGGGAGUAUUUUCAGUUGAUUUUGGUCAGUUUUGGUUGGGUUUGCCAGUUUUG